rnacentral:siRNA from 1 species
UUCUCCUCGAUGGCAUCUCCAU